rnacentral:tRNA from 1 species
UGAUUAGCUCAGCCGGGAGAGCAUCUGCCUUACAAGCAGAGGGUCGGCGGUUCGAUCCCGUCAUCA